ACGGACGCUGGCGGCGUGCUUCACACAUGCAAGUCGAACGGAAAGGCCCCAGCUUGCUGGGGUACUCGAGUGGCGAACGGGUGAGUAACACGUGGGUGAUCUGCCCUGCACUCUGGGAUAAGCCUGGGAAACUGGGUCUAAUACCGGAUAAGACCGUGCUUUAGUGUGUGCGGUGGAAAGUUUUUCGGUGCAGGAUGAGCCCGCGGCCUAUCAGCUUGUUGGUGGGGUAAUGGCCUACCAAGGCGGCGACGGGUAGCCGGCCUGAGAGGGUGUACGGCCACAUUGGGACUGAGACACGGCCCAGACUCCUACGGGAGGCAGCAGUGGGGAAUAUUGCACAAUGGGCGCAAGCCUGAUGCAGCGACGCCGCGUGGGGGAUGACGGCCUUCGGGUUGUAAACCCCUUUCGGCAGGGACGAAGCUUUUGUGACGGUACCUGCAUAAGAAGCACCGGCUAACUACGUG
rnacentral:rRNA from 1 species